AUGGGCUGGAUCAACACCAUUACUGGAGCAGCAGGCUAUGCCAAAACCCUGGAGGGACGGAUUGAACUGACCAAAGACAGCUCAGUGAGCAUGACACAUCUGAAACUGUCUGGUCUGAAGGCAGAGGACUCUGCUGUGUAUUACUAUCUACACAGCAUUAGUUUGACCUCCUCCCCUGCUCAACUCAAGACUCCUGGAGUCAGUGAAACUAUCUUGCCAAGUCUCUGGCUAUGUCCUGACAGACUAUGGUACAGGUUGGAUACGACAGCAGCCAGGGACACCACUGGAGUGGAUUGGGAUCAUCUGGGGUGGUGGAUCCAUCACUUCUGGAACCUCUUUUAAGAGCAGAUUCACCAUCUCCAGAGACAACACUUCCAGCAGCAAAGUGACUUUAACAGGACAGAGUCUGCAGACUGAAGACACAGCUGUGUGUUAUUGUGCUCGCUACCCACAGUGA